UACAGAGGGUGCAAGCGUUAAUCGGAAUUACUGGGCGUAAAGCGCGCGUAGGUGGUUCGUUAAGUUGGAUGUGAAAUCCCCGGGCUCAACCUGGGAACUGCAUUCAAAACUGUCGAGCUAGAGUAUGGUAGAGGGUGGUGGAAUUUCCUGUGUAGCGGUGAAAUGCGUAGAUAUCGGGAGGAACACCAGUGGCGAAGGCGGCGAUCUGGGAAGAUACUGACGCUGAGAGGCGAAAGCGUGGGGAGCAAACAGG
rnacentral:rRNA from 1 species